CCGUGACACUGACUAGACAAGAGCGUUGUGCCAUAUUGCGCAUGUGCGAAUGUCCCGCUGCGCGUAUAUGCAGUUUUGUUUUUCCCCACCAAGCAGGAUGAUGUCUAUAACAUACUAGCACACUAAUUAAGCGCCAAAAUUAAAUUUUCCCCUUCUAAUGGAUAGUUUAAGCUUUUUGAUGCGUUUUGGUAAGGGUUUUGUUCUGUUUUGUGGCAGUUUUUUGUCUUUUUUUUCUGGUGGCUUGGUCAGUUGUAGGUGUAAAGGUACAGUGCAUUUAAAGGCAUAUUUCCCUUUUAUUAUCAUUUUUUUAUUUUGGACCCUUUUACGGCUGC